rnacentral:rRNA from 1 species
UAUUCGCCUUUACUGGGCGUAAAGGGUUAGUAGGCGGUUUGCUGUGUUUAACAAGACAUUUCACUGUUUAUCUGUAUUUUUUGUUUUAAUUGACGCAUUCUAGAGUUUAGCUGAAGAUGUCGGUACUUUUGAUGGAGGGGUGAAAUCCGUCGAAAUCAACUGGAGGACCACCGUGCGCGGAGGCUGAUAUCUAAGUUUAAACUGACGCUAAGGUACGAAAGCGUGGGGAGCAAACGGGAUUAGAGACCCCGGUAGUCCACGCCCUAAACGAUAGAUCCUAAACUUAGUUUAAGCGAAAGCGUUAAGGAUCUCGCCUGAGUAGUAUGAUCGCAAGAUCGAAAUUCAAAGAGAUUGACGGAGACUUGUACACGCGGUGGAGCAUGUGGUUUAAUUCGAUAUAACACGCAAAAUCUUACCAACCCUGAACUAUAAAGUUGUUAAAAGUUUAGAGCUUUUUUUCAUAUUAUUUUUUUGAUAAUUUGUAAACUUUGAUAGGUGCUGCAUGGCUGUCGUCAGCUCGUGCUUUAAGGCGUUCGGUUAAUUCCGGUAACGAGCGCAACUCUCCUUUAAAUUAUUAUUUAAAAAUAUCAAGGUUAACUUGUUUUAAAGAGGACCACGUCAAGUCAGUAUGGCCCUUAUGGGUUGGGCCACACACGUGCUACAAUGGCUAGCUACAAAUAUGAUACAAAAGUUAACACUUGAGUAAAUCGUUAAAAGCUGCCUCAGUUCGGAUUGAUCAAUGAAAUUCUUGGUCAUGAAGUCGGAAUCGCUAGUAAUCGUGUAUUAGAAAGCCACGGUGAAUUUGUCAACGAGUCUUGUACACACCGCCCGUCACGCCAUGGAAGUUGGUCUCGCCUGAAAGCACCCUCGUGUGCUGACGGCAAGGCCGAUGACUGGGGCGAAGUCGUAACAAGGUAGCAGUUGCGGAAGCAGCGGCUG